GGGGGGGGGGGGGGGGGGGGGUGGGGGGGGGGGGGCGAGGGAGGCGGGCGGGGGUGGGGGGGCAGGGGUGCGUGCCGCGUGGGGGCCUGCCCUUAGGUUCGGAAGAACUCCCCGGAAGGGGUGCUAAUACCGGAUAAUGUCUUCGGACCAAAGAUUUAUCGCCUUUGGAUGGGCCCGCGUUGGAUUAGCUAGUUGGUAGGGUAAAAGCCUACCAAGGCGACGAUCCAUAGCUGGUCUGAGAGGAUGAUCAGCCACACUGGGACUGAGACACGGCCCAGACUCCUACGGGAGGCAGCAGUGGGGAAUAUUGGACAAUGGGCGAAAGCCUGAUCCAGCAAUGCCGCGUGAGUGAUGAAGGCCUUAGGGUUGUAAAGCUCUUUUACCCGGGAUGAUAAUGACAGUACCGGGAGAAUAAGCUCCGGCUAACUCCGUG
rnacentral:rRNA from 1 species